rnacentral:rRNA from 1 species
GAUGAACGCUGGCGGCGUGCCUAAUACAUGCAAGUCGAGCGAACGGACGAGAAGCUUGCUUCUCUGAUGUUAGCGGCGGACGGGUGAGUAACACGUGGAUAACCUACCUAUAAGACUGGGAUAACUUCGGGAAACCGGAGCUAAUACCGGAUGAUAUUUUGAACCGCAUGGUUCAAAAGUGAAAGACGGUCUUGCUGUCACUUAUAGACGGAUCCGCGCUGCAUUAGCUAGUUGGUAAGGUAACGGCUUACCAAGGCAACGAUGCAUAGCCGACCUGAGAGGGUGAUCGGCCACACUGGAACUGGGACACGGUCCAGACUCCUACGGGAGGCAGCAGUCGGGAAUCUUCCGCAAUGGGCGAAAGCCUGACGGAGCAACGCCGCGUGAGUGAUGAAGGUCUUCGGAUCGUAAAACUCUGUUAUUAGGGAAGAACAUAUGUGUAAGUAACUGUGCACAUCUUGACGGUACCUAAUCAGAAAGCCACGGCUAACUACGUG